rnacentral:rRNA from 1 species
GUGGGGAAUCUUAGACAAUGGGGGAAACCCUGAUCUAGCCAUGCCGCGUGAGCGAUGAAGGCCUUAGGGUUGUAAAGCUCUUUCAGCUGGGAAGAUAAUGACGGUACCAGCAGAAGAAGCCCCGGCUAACUCCGUGCCAGCAGCCGCGGUAAUACGGAGGGGGCUAGCGUUGUUCGGAAUUACUGGGCGUAAAGCGCACGUAGGCGGAUCAGAAAGUCAGAGGUGAAAUCCCAGGGCUCAACCUUGGAACUGCCUUUGAAACUCCUGGUCUUGAGGUCGAGAGAGGUGAGUGGAAUUCCGAGUGUAGAGGUGAAAUUCGUAGAUAUUCGGAGGAACACCAGUGGCGAAGGCGGCCCCCUGGACAAAGACUGACGCUCAGGUGCGAAAGCGUGGGGAGCAAACAGGAUUAGAAACCCUGGUAGUCC